ACGGAGCGCAUCAAGAUUUGCCAAAAUUCCAUAACCUGACUACGCUGCUCCUUGAUGACUGCGACUUGACCGGUGAAGUUUACAACUUGUUGGACUUGUUUCUGUACAAUGCUCCCAACUUGGAGAAACUUACUCUGCAGAACUGCAAGCUUCCGCAAGAAUGGUCCAAGUCGAAGAAGAUGUGUCUGACCCUCAAGUUUACCGAGAUCAAUUGUCAUAAGAAGGACGAUGUUUGCCAGGUCAAUCAUUGACUUUUGGCUGGGCAUUUCAAAGAACCGCCAGAAGACCGCGAUAUCAAGUAAUCAGGUGCACUUCUCAUAUUAAUCAUAGCAGAUUACCAGGUCAGCGGGUCGCAAUAAACACUAGUGUUUUUCCGCGAAAAUGCAAAUUGCAUUGAAAAGGCAGAGUUUAGAGUUACAAGCCUCCUAGGAGAAUUUCCUUGGCAUUUCUGACAACAUCUGAAGGUUCAGUAGUUACUGGGAGUUUGGAGUUAUUCAUAGCAGGCAUUAUCCUUUCUUA